rnacentral:rRNA from 1 species
GACGAACGCUGGCGGCGUGCCUAACACAUGCAAGUCGAGCGGAGUCGAUCGACGGAAGCCUUCGGGCGGAAGAUGGUUGACUUAGCGGCGGAUGGGUGAGUAACGCGUGGGCAACCUGCCUCGAAGACCGGGAUAACAGCCCGAAAGGGCUGCUAAUACCGGAUGUGGUCAAGGAUCCGCAUGGAUUUUUGAUUAAAGGGGAAACCCGUUUCGAGAUGGGCCCGCGUCCUAUCAGCUAGUUGGUGAGGUAAAAGCUCACCAAGGCGACGACGGGUAGCCGGCCUGAGAGGUGACCGGCCACACUGGAACUGAGACACGGUCCAGACUCCUACGGGGGCAGCAGUGGGGAAUCGUUCCACAAUGGGCGAAAGCCCUGAUGGAGCGACGCCGCGUGAGCGAAGAAGGCCUUCGGGUUGUAAAGCUACUGUCUGGAGGACGAAGGAAGUGACGGUACCUCGGAGGAGCCACGGCUAACACGUAGCCACGCCGGGUAACGAUCACGUGUA